CCUUUCCAAAUAACAUAUAAUGGAAAAUAAAAUAAAAUAUUUAAUGGAAUCCCAGACUGGGUUUAUGAAGAAGAAAGACUUGCUAGAAAAUAUGUUCUCUGGUGGUCUCCAAGUGGAAAGUUUUUGGCAUAUGCAGAGUUUAAUGAUACAGAAAUCCCAGUGAUUGCCUAUUCCUAGUAUGGUGAUGAGCAAUAUCCUAGGACAAUAAAUAUUCCAUACCCAAAGGCUGGAGCUAAGAAUACUGUUUUUUGGAUAUUUAUUGUCGAUACUACUUACCCUGAGCAUUUAGGUCCCAUAGAAGUGCCAGUUCCAGCAAUGAUAGCCUCAAG